AACCUGCUUUGUUGUGGGGGAUAACCGAGGGAAACUUCGGCUAAUACCGCAUAAGCUUCCGGGCUUGUUCCGGGGGAAAGAUUUAUCGCGACAGGAGGGGCCCGCGUCCGAUUAGCUGGUUGGUGGGGUAACGGCCUACCAAGGCUGCGAUCGGUAGCUGGUCUGAGAGGAUGAUCAGCCACACUGGGACUGAGACACGGCCCAGACUCCUAUGGGAGGCAGCAGUGGGGAAUAUUGGACAAUGGGCGCAAGCCUGAUCCAGCAAUGCCGCGUGAGUGAUGAAGGCCUUCGGGUUGUAAAGCUCUUUCGCCCGCGACGAUGAUGACGGUAGCGGGAGAAGAAGCUCCGGCUAACUUCGUGCCAGCAGCCGCGGUAAUACGAAGGGGGCGAGCGUUGUUCGGAAUCACUGGGCGUAAAGGGCGCGUAGGCGGCCCUCCUUGUCGUGUGUGAAAGCCCCGGGCUCAACCUGGGAACGGCGCGCGAGACGGGGGGGCUGGAGUUCUGGAGAGGAGCGUGGAAUUCCCAGUGUAGAGGUGAAAUUCGUAGAUAUUGGGAAGAACACCGGUGGCGAAGGCGGCGCUCUGGACCGAGACUGACGCUGAGGCGCGAAAGCGUGGGGA
rnacentral:rRNA from 1 species